rnacentral:sRNA from 1 species
CUUGGUCAUUUAGAGGAAGUAAAAGUCGUAACAAGGUUUCCGUAGGUGAACCUGCGGAAGGAUCAUUAGUGAAUUUUAGGGUGCCCUCUCGCCUAACUCCUUUAACUGGGUUGGCGUCAGAGGGGCCUGACCUCCACUUUCUACCCUGUGCACUAUUUCUAAAGGCGUUCAGAUUGAUGUUUGAAAGAACGUCGGUCUGAAACCUUUUCAAUUCAUAAACACGAGUCAAAGAAUGUAUUAUAAAAUCAUAACAAAAAAAAACUUUCAACAACGGAUCUCUUGGUUCUGGCAUCGAUGAAGAACGCAGCGAAAUGCGAUACGUAAUGUGAAUUGCAGAUUUCAGUGAAUCAUCGAAUCUUUGAACGCACAUUGCGCCCGCCAGUAUUCUGGCGGGCAUGCCUGUUCGAGCGUCAUUUCAACCAUCAAGCGCCUCGCUUGUGUUGGGGCCCUGCGGCUGCCGCAGGCCCCCAAAUCCAGUGGCGGGCUCGUCGUCGUACCGAGUGCAGUAAACAUCCUCGCUCAGGGAACCCGACGGGUGCCGGCCGUGAAACCCCCCCUCCUUAAGGUUGACCUCGGAUCAGGUAGGAAUACCCGCUGAACUUAAGCAUAUCAAUAAGCGGAGGAAAAGAAACCAACAGGGAUUGCCCCAGUAACGGCGAGUGAAGCGGCAACAGCUCAAAUUUGAAAUCUGGCCUCGGCCCGAGUUGUAAUUUGCAGAGGAAGCUUCUGGUGCGGCGCCGUCCGAGUCUCCUGGAACGGAGCGCCAUAGAGGGUGAGAGCCCCGUAUGGACGGACGCCAAACCUGUGUGAAGCUCCUUCGACGAGUCGAGUUGUUUGGGAAU